UAAUGAUUCAAGUCAUUACAAUAAACCUCGGGUCAUUAAGGACUGACCUGAGGAACACACACACACACACACACACACACACACACACACAUGUACAAACGAACACACAAUGUCGAAGGGUAUUUAUGGACGUCAAGCCAACGAGCACUUCACAGGCUCUCAAGGCGGUCUCGGGUCAAGAGGUCUCCUGUUCUUGUUUCCCGUAAACAUGAGGACCCCUGUACACCCCUGUAUCAAAUGUUCAUGGUGUAAUAAUUACUUCCCGUUGUCCGCACUCGCAGCUCAUAGGGCGGCCUGCCUUCCAGAGGGCCUUGGGACUGGAUCGAAAGAUAUAUCUACUAGAAACAAUGGUAAGUACUUAAAUGUUUGCGUUACUUUAUAUGAUUGUCAUAAAAAAACAGUAGCAGAUGUGGAUGACGGGAGGGAGGUAGAGAGCUGGGCAGCAUGGUCAAUAUCGACUUUAGUCUUUCUAUCUUUUUUCAGAAGAGACGUCGUCGACUAGCUCUGAUCGAUCAGAUGUCGGUUUCUCUCAACCAGACCCCAGCGAUAUUGGAAGUUGUUCUCCACGGGCGGGUCUCAGCGACGAAGCCAGUCAAAACCAAAGGACUAUCUCCGAAGAAGGCGGGUCUGGUAGGCUCAGCCAUUGGCCCUCCUCUUCAGCGAUCGGUAGUGGACGAAAACGAAAACAAGCGAAUACAGGAACAAACGACACCUGCAGGAAAAAGCAAGCCCGUCGUGAGGGAUUCUCCCAUCCAAACAGUUCUCCACAGCCAGGACCCAGCGGUUAUAACCCGGGACGGCCGACAACAACACCCUCGCCAACACCAGGUGAAAUAAGCCAACAUUUCAACGGGGCCUUAACAACGAUCGACGUGCCCGUCCCACCAGCAGACAACGGCGACAUUGCAUCAUAUUUCAACAACAACACUGGCCGUCUUCGCGAGGCAGUAGAGUCUGUAUUCCAAGGCUGCCAGCAGGUUAGACCUCCUUCUUUUAAAGUGUACGUUGACAUGCAUCUGCGUUUAGUCAGAGAAGACCCCGAC